rnacentral:piRNA from 1 species
AUGCUACACGUGCGCUGACACCCUGUGAGC